CAGCCGCCGCGGUAAUACCUGCAGCCCAAGUGGUGGUCGAUUUUAUUGAGUCUAAAACGUUCGUAGCCGGUUUGGUAAAUCUUUGGGUAAAUCGGGAAGCUCAACUUUCCGACUUCCGAAGAGACUGUCAAACUUGGGACUGGGAGAGGCUAGAGGUACUUCUGGGGUAGGGGUAAAAUCCUGUAAUCCUAGAAGGACCACCGGUGGCGAAGGCGUCUAGCUAGAACGGAUCCGACGGUGAGGGACGAAGCCCUGGGUCGCAAACGGGAUUAGAUACCCUGGUAGUCCAGGGUGUAAACGCUGCCGACUUGGUGUUGGAGGCCCUUCGGGGGCAUUCAGUGCCGGAGAGAAGUUGUUAAGUCGGCUACUUGGGGAGUACGUCCGCAAGGAUGAAACUUAAAGGAAUUGGCGG
rnacentral:rRNA from 1 species